GUUUGAAAAGAGCAUUCCCGGAUGGCAAGAAUGGCAGCAGAGUUAUUAUUACCACGCGCAAAGAGGAUGUCGCUGAAAGAGCAGAUGACAGAGGUUUUGUUCAUAAACUUCGUUUCCUAAGUCAACAAGAAAGUUGGGAUCUCUUUCUUAGGAAACUACUUGAUAUUCGAGCAAUGGUUCCAGAAAUGGAAGGUCUAGCUAAGGAUAUGGUGGAAAAGUGUAGAGGCUUACCUCUUGCGAUUGUUGUAUUGAGCGGACUACUUUCGCAUAAAAAGGGGCUAAACGAAUGGAAAAAAGUGAAAGAUCACCUUUG
rnacentral:misc_RNA from 1 species